GACGAACGCUGGCGGCGUGCCUAAUACAUGCAAGUCGAGCGAAUCUUUUGGGAGCUUGCUCCCGAAAGAUUAGCGGCGGACGGGUGAGUAACACGUGGGCAACCUGCCUAUAAGACUGGGAUAACUUCGGGAAACCGGAGCUAAUACCGGAUACGUUCUUUUCUCGCAUGAGAGAAGAUGGAAAGACGGUCUCGGCUGUCACUUAUAGAUGGGCCCGCGGCGCAUUAGCUAGUUGGUGGGGUAAUGGCUCACCAAGGCGACGAUGCGUAGCCGACCUGAGAGGGUGAUCGGCCACACUGGGACUGAGACACGGCCCAGACUCCUACGGGAGGCAGCAGUAGGGAAUCUUCCGCAAUGGACGAAAGUCUGACGGAGCAACGCCGCGUGAACGAAGAAGGCCUUCGGGUCGUAAAGUUCUGUUGUUAGGGAAGAACAAGUACCAGAGUAACUGCUGGUACCUUGACGGUACCUAACCAGAAAGCCACGGCUAACUANGUNACAGCAGCCGCCGCGGUAA
rnacentral:rRNA from 1 species